rnacentral:lncRNA from 1 species
GGUUGAUAAGGUGAGUCGUCUAGUAGCGUCUAUGCGGAGAGUCAGUCGAGUCGGGUCGGGACUGUGUAGUGGAAGUGGCCUAUUGCUCAUCAGCUGAUGAUGGAGGGGGAGGGGGAUCCCCCCACCAUGCCUCGCACUGAGUAGUGGAAGUUCCACUGUGAAAACUCUGACCAGGCCGUUACCAAAUUCCGUCCAGACGUCUUCCCUAAUGUGUUCAAUGUAACACAAAGUGUGGGAAUUGUGAUCCGCGGCGCACCAUGAGUUACCGUAUUCGACCACUGGAUUCGUAACACUCAGAUUGGAAUUCUGAUCCACGGCGCAUCAUGUGUUACCGUACUCGACCACUGGAUUAGUAACAUUCAGAGACUGGGACUUGUGAUUGGCGGCAUAUCAUGUGUUACCGUACUCUACCACUGGAAUUGUAACACUCAGGGCCGGGGAAUCGUGAUAUGCGGUAUACCAUGUGUUACCAUACUUAACCACUGGAAUUGUAACACUCAAGGCCGGGGAAUCGUGAUAUGCGGCACACCAUGUGUUACCAUACUCAACCACUGGAAUUGUAACACUCUGGGACGGGGAAUCGUGAUAUGCGGCACACCAUGUGUUACCAUACUCAACCACUGGAAUUGUAACACUCUGGGACGGUGAAUCGUGAUAUGCGGUAUACCAUGUGUUACCAUACUCAACCACUGGAAUUGUAACACUCAAGGCCGGGGAAUCGUGAUAUGCGGCACACCAUGUGUUACCAUACUCAACCACUGUUAUUGUAACACUCUGGGACGGGGAAUCGUGGUAUGCGGCAUACCAUGUGUUACCAUAUUCAACCACUGGAAUUGAAUAACUGUGAGGUCGACCGCAGCGCUGACCAGAGCAGUGACCACUACCGGCCCGCGCUUCCUGCCCGCACUCGCACGUCAUCUGGCCCGCCUCUCUACAACAUACAAUGUUACAUAAAAUAACAUUCAGAAAUA